UGGGGGCGGGGGGGUGAGGCCAGCAGCCUGGCAGAGCGCUGAGAAGGAGGCAGCGUCGAGGCUCCUGCGCGGGAUAAGCCGCGGUUGCCACCGCAGGCCUGGCACGACCAGGGCCCGGAUGCCCCGCCCGGCCCGGCCCCGCGCGCACAGGUACCUGAGACGAUUUCAACUGAAGUAAUGAAGGCAGUGUCGUGCUGUCGAGAGAAAGGUGGAUCCCAACAACAGGAAACUACCUAAAUCACCGACCAGUUCUGGUGCUGCCCGCGCGGAGCUGCCUCGCCCGCCGCCGCCGCCGUUACUGCCGCCGCCGCCGCCAAAGGAGAACCCUGUGAUCGCGCCCGGCCCCUCGCCAACCUGCGCCCGCCGCUGUCACUGUGUGUCCCAGGCUGCCGCUAAGGCAUCACGGAGGGAGAAGCCACCGGCCCCGCUCCCCUCUCAACUGAAACCACUGGUCCAAGACAGCCACAAUCCAGAUAUACUAGCAAGUCAUAAAACUGAACAAAAGCCGACAAACCUUACGGCACCAGGGCUAUAGGGCCCAGACAAAUUACGACCGUCUAGGUUUGACCCUUUUAUGCAUGUAACUUCACAGUAUAAAGGAAACCCAACAGUGUCUCCCUUCUCUAGUCUAUUCCGC